AGUCUAGAGCUGUGAAGAAUCCAUGAAGAUACAUCUAGAACAAUGAAAGCAUAGAUCUCAAUCUUCUUGUGGGAACGAAGGCAAAGUUCUCCUCCGGGAGCCAUUCGGUCUUUAUCUGGUAAUGAGCAUGAACUGGCGGACAUUGUCAGAACAAAAACAAAUCUGGUGGAUUUAAAUUGGCUCUCACAGGUGUCUUAUUUUGACUGUGCAUCUCCCAUGAAACUCUUCUUUGGAUGUAGGACAUGCCUCGUGCUAAGAUUGCAUCCAACACGUUUUCUCCAUUGAGGAUACUACGAGCUCCUGGAGGGCUUGCUUGGCUCUCCCUGCGUACCAUCACGCCCAGCCGGAGUCGGAGCUGGUAAAGCAGCCAGGAAUUCCCAAGCUUUCCCAGGCGAGGGUGGAGAAACACCAGGACGCCUUUUUCUUCUUCCCCGGUCAUCUGCAGCCAAGUGUGCAUCGGUCAAAGGCAAACUCUGAAUCGGGCUUUGUGCAAGUCUCUGGAAAGAUACCCAAGAUCGUGUGACAGGGAAAAAGUGACAGUGGUGGUGGUGGCAGUGACAUCUGCGGAGCCAGCCCCAUCCCUAUCUGCCGCAGGAUGCGUGUGGGCAUGCUUUGUGGGAACAAUCCAGCCCGGGUAGAAUGGCGCUUUUGACAUCAGCUGGGGCCUGGGCUGCCUUACAAUGAGGCCUGUUGGUCAAAGGGAGACUGUUUAAUGAACUGCGCACCAGAGGCCAGCUCUGGCCAUCUGUACCGAGGCUCUUUGGAGCGAGUCUUUACUGUAACUGGCUACAUGUGUGAAAGCACAUUGCCUUUCACAGAAAAGCGACUGCAACAACAAAUUCAUAUUUCAGGACCGUGAACUUUUGAAUGCUCUUUGUGGCGUGUGAUGAAAAGCUCGAUACAAGCUUGAUACUCAGACUUUGUUAAAGCGGGGAAGCCUGAGAAAGUAUCUUUCUUUUGGCUCUGGGGUCAACGAUGAUAAUGGCUUUUUCCUUACCCUGGGCAGCGACGACCUGUCGAGGCUAGGAAAACACUUUAUGAAAAUGGAAUUCAUUAAAGCCAGUCAUAAUCAGGGGGGGAAGGCAGGCGAUCACGACUGUCACCACUUCGUAGGCGAAGCGUUGAUGCUCAGGGGGAACAGUGACUCCUGACCAAGGUCGAAGAGCAGGUGGGAGGUGGCACUGACAUGUCACUGUGUCCUCCAGCCUCUGGCAGCGAGGAAGGACACGCAAGGUUUGCACCGACUUUUCCUGGCAGGCUUGUUCUUCCCAGCCGGAAUGCAGGUGGCAAUGUUGUGAUUCCUGGCGUAACCUUCAAUGCUUCAAUGAUAAUCUCUGUCGGCGCCAGGCACCUGCGGAGUGUCACCGCGUAACUCCCGGGCUUAAGUGAUGCAUGCCGAGGUUUUCGUAGCAGCCUCUCAUUUAUUGGUUGUGUUGGAAAGAAAUCUCUAAUACCUAACUGGGUACCUCUGGAUUUUAACAGCUGUGCUUUAUAAGAGAUUUGGGAGGGGGAUUGUUUUCAAAGUGCCUUUCACAAAGUAUCACCUUCGAUGGGAGUUUCCAUUCUGUUCCAGUAGAAUGACUCACAGUGCCCCUAUGCUCAGAAAACCAAGCCUGCAGGAACAAUCAGACAGCUUCUUACUACUCAUUUUAGCAAAGCUUCUAUGCUUGAGGAACCAGACCUCUUCUGUGUGCCACUGAUCGAGGCCCCAAUUUCCAUGAGGACUGAAGCGCCUUUGUUCAGAGCCUCACCUGAUGUAUCUUUCAUCUGGCUGCUGAUUCAGAUCCUUUAAU